UACGGGGGGAGCAAGCGUUGUUCGGAUUUACUGGGCGUAAAGGGCGCGUAGGCGGCCAGCACAAGUCAGUUGUGAAAUCUCCGAGCUUAACUCGGAAAGGUCAACUGAUACUGUGCGGCUAGAGUGCGGAAGGGGCAACUGGAAUUCUUGGUGUAGCGGUGAAAUGCGUAGAUAUCAAGAGGAACACCUGCGGCGAAGGCGGGUUGCUGGGCCGACACUGACGCUGAGGUACGAAAGCCAGGGGAGCAAACGGG
rnacentral:rRNA from 1 species